UACAGAGGUCUCAAGCGUUGUUCGGAUUCAUUGGGCGUAAAGGGGUGCGUAGCGGCGCGGUAAGUCGGGUGUGAAAUCUCGGAGCUUAACUUCGAAACUGCAUUCGAUACUGCCGUGCUUGAGGACUGGAGAGGAGACUGGAAUUUACGGUGUAGCGGUGAAAUGCGUAGAUAUCGUAAGGAAGACCAGUGGCGAAGGCGGGUCUCUGGACAGUUCCUGACGCUGAGGCACGAAGGUCAGGGGAGCAAACGGG
rnacentral:rRNA from 1 species